GGGGAGGACACAGAAUUCUGAAAUGUGGAACGAAGAAUGCCAUGGGAAUCAAGGUUUGAUUGCGUCACAGAUGUUUUUUUCAUUUAGAAGCUUGGACAGACAGUCAGAGACAUCGGAUUUGUGUCAGCCUGGCUGAAGAGGGACUGGACAAAAGGCAAGCUCCUGUACUUGAAGUUUAACGAGGUGGCCCGUUUCAAGCAAGGUCCCGGUGGACAACGAUCACAAGUCAAAGACGUCAAUGGAGUUGACAGUAAUUGGCAUCAGUUCAUCAGUCUUGCUCUGAGACUAGACAAGGACACGUGAAGUGUGGAAAUAAUAACAAACGGAUGAGACUGAUGGAAUAGGAAAGAAAAAGGAAGUUAAGUCAUGGCAGGUAAUAAUGAA